rnacentral:rRNA from 1 species
UUGCCUACGGGGGGCAGCAGUGAGGAAUAUUGGUCAAUGGCCGAGAGGCUGAACCAGCCAAGUCGCGUGAGGGAUGACGGCCCUACGGGUUGUAAACCUCUUUUGUCGGGGAGCAAGACCCGCCUCGUGCAGGCGGAGCGAGAGUACCCGAAGAAAAAGCAUUGGCUAACUCCGUGCCAGCAGCCGCGGUAAUACGGAGGAUGCGAGCGUUAUCCGGAUUUAUUGGGUUUAAAGGGUGCGUAGGCGGACGGUCAAGUCAGCGGUAAAAAUGCGGUGCUCAACGCCGUACAGCCGUUGAAACUGGC